rnacentral:lncRNA from 1 species
GGGAAGGAAAUCCCAGAGCUUCACGAGCUCCAAAGAAUGGCAGGCAGCAAGGAGCAGGAAGCGCUUGUUAGGAAGGAGCGAGGAAAUGGAGCCUCUGCCCCAACCCAAGCAAACUUUUGAGGACCGGAAAGUGGGAGUAGGAAGGUGUAAAAGUGCUUUGAGCUUUGGCAGGGGAUUGCAGAGGGCAAAGGGUGAAGGGAGAGGGACAAACACCGCCGCAGAACUCAAGGAGGGGGCAGCCCGUGUGUGCGUGCCGUGGAGGGGACUUCACAGUGGAGCUGCUAACUAAAUAAAGAAAGGCUCGUCGCCAUGCCUGUUAGGUUAACUCAGCGGGGAUAUUGCAAAAGCAAAUUCCUCCCAGCAAGUGUAAUUAGGGGGCCGGAAUUCCUCCAGUUCCUUGUCCUUGUUGUGGAUUCUGCUAAAGCCAUCAGGGUGGAAAGUACGCGUCAGACAAAACAGUCAGGGUCGCAGGGCUGCUUCCCCCAGGGCAGCACGCUCACAUUAGGGGUGGAAAGAAGACAGCGAGGGGUCUGGGCAGGGCACUGUCAGGAUUUGGGAGGUGCCCACAUG